UCCCCUACUCUUUGGAAAAAAAUAAAAAUUUUAAAACAGGGGGCGGGGGAACCUUAAUGAUACCAAUUAUCACCAAUAUUAAAUCAGUCUGUCAAUUUUUGUCAAAGGACAAGGUUUUCUUUAACCAAAAAAUUAAAAAAUAAAUCCAAAAUCCAAAAAAAAAAAAUUAAAAUUAAUUAAAUAAAAAAAAAAAAUUUUUUUUAAAACAAUCAUCCUGGAGAAUAUGCCACAUUCAACAAAUCAAAAUCCAAUUGGAUUUAAAAUACAUUGGAUGAAAUUACGUGAGGCAAAAUCAACAGAAAUAUUAUGGGAGGCAAAUGACGAUCUUACAUUUCCAAGUGAAGAAUUACGUGCAUGGAUGCCAAAAACAUGUGGACGUAUUAUACGUGAAGUGAAUUUUUCAACAAUAAGACCAAUGAAUUGGUUUCGUAUGGAGCAAAAAUUAUUUUUAAAAGAUCGUCUAUUUAAUGAAUGGUCAUUUGAAUCAAGUAGUAUGGGUGAACGUACAUUAACAGCACCUGAAUUAUUAAAAAUACCCAUUGAAUUAUUUAAUGGCGAUAUUGUACUUGAGACAAAAUUUUAUUAUCAAAAUAAUACAAUUGCAUCGAAUAGAAUACGAUUUUUUAAUGACUAAAUCAUAAUUUAAAUAAUAGUAUUAAAAAUAAUGACGAUAUUUAAUUAAAUUAAUUUUUAAAAAAAAUUACGACGAAAAAAUUAUUUUCGACAAAAAAAAGGAAAUGAAAAACAAUUUCAUUUUGAAAAAGUCGAAAAAAAAUUUUUUAUUUACAUAUAUGACGACUCUGUCGAUUAUAACAGAAUAUCGAAUCAACAAAUUUUGACGAUGAGAGAGAAUUAAUUUUCAAAAAUGGAAAAUUAACAACAGGAUAAAGAGAAAAAGAAAUUAAUUAAUUAAAAAAUUGACAGCAAAAAUUUGACAAGUCAUCCCGUUUUAUUGUUUUUUUUUUUAUUAUUAUAUCAUUUUGGAGAAUUGGAUUUUUUUUAACUCGAAGGAAAAAAACAAAAAAAAAAAAAAUCAAAUUUAUUUAAAAACUUUUUUGAUUUUCAACGACAAUUUUUUUUUAUCGUUUUCUUUUUUUCAAUCUACGAAAUAAAUUUGCUUUUUAUAAAUGUUAGAACAAAAAAAUUAUUAAAAACAAAAAAUUUUUUUUUAAACCAAAAAAUUAUAGAAAAAAAUUUUUUUUAAUCAAAAAAAUUUUAGAACAAAAAUAUUUUUUAAAUAAAAAAAUUAUAGAAAAAAAAUUUGUUUUCUCAAAAAUUUUAGUUUCAAUAAUAAAAUUUUUUUUUUUUAAAAAAAAAAAGAAAACAUUAAAAAAAAUGAUAAAAACAAUUAUUAUUAUUUAUAUUUAAAAGCAAAUUUUUCAUGUAUUUUAUUUUUUUACCAUUUAAUUUUAUAUGUACAUUUUUAAAUAGAAUUUGUUAAAAAAAAAAAAAAAAAAAAAAAAAGUAAGCAUCAAUAUUAAAAUAUUUUAUUUAUUUAUUAUAUAAAGCGCAAAAUAUAAUGUACACAAAAUUUUAUCAUUGAUGCAAAUAAAUAUAGAUUUUGAAAUGGUAA